rnacentral:rRNA from 1 species
UUGCAGCCAUGUCGCGUGAGGURAGAAGGCCUUGGGUCGUAAAGCUCUUUUAUGGGGAAGAAWAUGACGGUACCCAGAAUAAGCCCGGCCUAACUACGUGCCAGCAGCCGCGGUAAUACGUAGGGUGCGAGCGUUGUUCGGAAUUACUGGGCGUAAAGAGSCGCGAGGCUGAUUAGAAGUCGGAGGUGAAAGCCCGGGGCUCAACCCCGGAGGGUCUUUCGAAACUGCUAAUCUAGAGAGGGUCAGGGGGGGCGAAUUCUUUGUGUAGAGGUGAAAUUGUCAUAUCAGARGAAUCCCGUGGCGAAGGYGGCUGGGGCCACUCUUACUAGGGAGGMAAAGCUGGGGCAAASAGUAUAACCCUGGUAUCCMCYCUAAACAUAGCACUGGAUGUGCGGGAGGUCUUCYACCCUUUKGGUUCUCAGCUAACGCAUUAAG